AUUCCAUGGUGAGGACAGCUUCUAGUGUAUCCUUUCAAAUGCUCCCAAGCUUCACUUAGAGAUUCUUGACCACUUUGCCUAAAAGAGUUUAUAUGACUUUUGUACU
rfam:Arabis alpina cultivar Pajares chromosome 2, whole genome shotgun sequence.